GGAUUGUGGCUUAGCGGUAGAGCACUCCCCUAGCAUGGGCGGGACCCGGGUUCGAUCCUCAACACCA
rnacentral:tRNA from 1 species